rnacentral:misc_RNA from 1 species
GCAAUACUACGAUGACGUGUCUUUUUUAGUAUAAAAGUAAGAGAUCAAAAUUAAUAUUUGUUAGAGUAGAACACAUGAUUUUAUCCGUUUCAUGUAACCAGCGAAUUAAAAUAUUUUUUUCUCAAUAUAUGUAUGACUUUUUGAAAGAGAAAGUCAGUGUUUUAAACCACUUUCCAGCUCCCAGAAAUUUGGAUUUAUCAGAAAAAGGGUAUAGACCGGAUUUACAGGGCUGCUUAGCAUACUCGAGUUAGAAUGAAGUUUGUUUGGACAAAACGGGUAUUUAAUUGCAGUAUUACCGGUUCGCUCUAAUUAUCAAUUUAAAAACGUCUUGUUUACCUAUGUUUCGUCAAGAUAUCGUGUUUCUUUAAUCAAUACUAUAAUUGUGUAUUGAACGAAAUAGAUUAAAAAAAUUACAGGACAUAGUAGACGCGGGAGGACCAUAAUCAAAUCGGACUAACCAACUAUUAUACGUUUACUGAUAAAUCCUGCCGUCGUGAAAUCUGACCAAUAUUUACCAGGAAUUGACGCUGUUGAUACAGAUAUGGCUACUGGAUUUGAUGAACAAGAGACUGAUUCUGAUACAAAUGGAAAUAUGAUGGACACAGUUACCUUACAUGAAAGUGUUAACAUCACAAACACAUGCCACCCCUGCACCACAAGAAUGCUCGAUGAAAGCAAUUUCCAAAGACUGAAUAGUGAACAUUGCUACACCAACUCUGAUAUGAUACCAGAAGAUUGCUUGACGGCUCAAUAUUCAUCUAAUUCUCUGAGAGAAGUUCCUGUUGUUAGUACUACUGACCUGACUCGAAUACUAGAUACUGAAAAAAGUGUCUUUCGUGAACUGAAUAUUAAUACAAGAAGUUAUGGAAACGAUCAUUUAGAAGAGGGACCUAAACCUAUUGUCAUAUAUAAUGAUAAGGACAAUAGACGCACUUUCAAUAGAAAACCUAUAGGCUCUUUAUGUACCGUUGAAAAGAAUGAGCAGGAAAAGCAUAUUUUAUGUUGCAGUUCGGCUAGAUUGUUAGAGAAAGAAAACUUAUUUAAUGCGGCAAAGGCGUACAAAUUAGCCUUGAAAUAUAAGCCAGAUUUUGAACUUGCUAAGGAGAGGCUUAAGUUUGUUCAUGGCCAGAUAUUACAAAAAAAACGAAGCGAAUUAUAUGAAAUUGUACUCACUGAACGUCGCGAGGAAGAAACGCCUAAUUACGAAUACAAUGAGCAAAUCAAAAGCAUCAGAAAUUCUAAUUCAUCAGAUAAGAUUUUUGAAACUGUGCUUAAUAAGGCAGUAGAACACAGUAUAUGUUCGAAUCAAGAAGCAGGUCAGGUCAUAUAUGAAAUGCUUUUUGAUCUCAAACCGAACUUCGCUGAAGAGCUUGUUGUUCAAGUUCACUGUGAUCAGCAGGUAUGUGUGUGGAAGGAUGAAAACACGUUGAUGUUAGAAAAAAUAACAAAGCUGCAGCUGUUAUAUGGAGAUACACCUUUAGUAAAACCACAUUCAGCAUUUACAUAUCUUCCAUUCCAACCUACAUUAAACAGAGCUAUAGCUGCAAAAUAUGCAGAUGAUUGUUUGCAGAGGGCUACCAGUUUAUCUAUAAAACAGCGAUCGAAUAUAUCUGGACCUAAAAUUAAGGUAGGUUACAUAAGCUCAGAUUUCAAGAAUCAUUCCAUGUCACAUCUGAUAAGUGGGAUCUUUCAACUCCAUAACAAAAAUGCAUUUGAAGUUUAUCUGUAUUCGCUUACUAAAUGUGAUGAUUCAGUUUUUAGACAAAGAAUUGAAGAAGGAGCUGAUCAUUUUCUUGACAUAUAUGAAAUGGAUUUUAAAGAAAUACAGGAACGUAUUGUGAAAGACGGAAUUAAUAUUUUAAUAAAUCUGAAUGGGUACACACAAGGAGAAAUGAAUGAGUUAUUUGCUCUCAAACUGGUAAAAGUUCAGGUAUUGUGGCUUGGUUUCCCAGGUACAAGUGGGUCGAAUUACAUGGACUACAUAAUUACCGAUCCUGUUUCAACACCGUUAGAAUUUGAAACAGAUUUUUCUGAGAAGUUUGCAUAUUUACCCCCCACGCACUUCAUUGGUGACCAUCUGAAAAUGUUUCAACAUCUGGUAGAGAAGAUUGUGAUUAAAUCAUACACUUGUGACGAUAGCAACAGUUUAAUAAUCAGUGGACAAAAUUUGGAGCCCUUCAGAAAUGCUUGUAGAAAUGCUGGGCUUACCAUAGAGGGAGACAAAGAAAAUGGCGAAUCCGUAAUUAUACCUUUCCUGUACAUUCUUACAUGCAAAUUUUCAAAUCACAAUUUCUGUGUUAUGACUGAAAGGCUUUUACCGCGUUUCAUAGUGGAUUUAUUGUUGAAGAAAACUGUUUAUGCACUUCUAAGAUCAAGCAAUAAGCUAGUCAUAUUUGGUGUCGAAAUUUUAAAUGGGGUGAAAGUAGGAAGGCAAGAGGAACAAAGCAAAUGGUCAACAGGCGAAAUAGUACCUGAUUCUUAUAUUUAUACCGCAAAAUGUCAGUAUGGUCUGCCAGAUAACAAAGUUAUAUAUGUAAACUUUAAUCAGAACUACAAAUUUGACAAAGUGGCACUUGAUAUGUGGAUUAAAAUAUUGAAGAAUGUGCCAAACAGCGUAAUUUGGCUUCUAAGGUUCCAUGAAGAAUCCGAAACAAACAUAAGAAGAUACAUAAGGCAAUCAGGCGAAGCCAUAACUGAUGAUAGAAUUGUCUUCUCAGAUCCUGUAAAGAAGGAAGAAUACAUACGUCGUGCUCAAUUAGCUGACGUGUUUUUAGAUACACCUUUGUGCAAUGCACAUACGACAGGCAUGGAUGCUAUUUUUGCUGGGUUGCCAUUAGUAACUCUACCGCAAAGAAAUAUUGCCUCAAGAAUAGCAGCAUCUCUUAUAAAAGAACUUGGCUGUGAAGAGCUUAUAGCCAAAGAUGAGGAGGAUUACGUUGAUAUUGCAGUAAAGCUGGGAAACGACUGUCGUCUUCUGAAGAACAUGAAGAGCAAAGUAUUCACGAGAAGACUUGAAAGUAGUUUAUUUGAUCUUCCUAAGAAAGUAGAAUCUCUAGAAGAACUUUUCAAAUGUAUGCACAGUCGUAGGAAUCAAAAACCCCAACAUAUAACGCAGCUAGUCAGUAAAUCAGUGAAAGAAGUACCGGCAAACAUACUACAGCAAGACACAGUAAUAGUACAGUCUGUUGUGGAACACGUGUCUCUCCAAAGGUCAGAAAUACAAGAGCAUUCCAAAAAUUUGACACAGCUGGUAAAUACGGAACUGCCAAUUAUAACAGAGGAGCAUGAAUCUGAUGAGGAAGUUGAAAAUGGAAAUAUCCCUCUGUUAGAUGACAUCGAGCAACUAUGAAUAUUCAAAUUGUUUUGACACGUUUUAAAAUGUGGACGCUGUUACUGUUCACUUAAUACAGAUAUUUAUUCAAAUACAAUGGAAAAGAACUUCAUGGCCUUCAGUUUGGAAAAGCUUUGAAAGGUAAGCUUGAGCAUCUGCUACUAUUACAAUUUGUGUAACAUUUAUAUGCAUAGUGUCAUUAUUCAAAUACAAGAGCAGACUUUGAGUAGCUGCUCCUUUCUCCAGUAUUCUGGCUCCUUCACAUCUUAAGAAGGCGCGGACACUGGCUAACCUAGGUCAGGAAAGCAUUUAACGUCUUCCACCGGUGUCCAUACGGAAGCCGCAUAUGUGGCCUUAAAGACGUCGUUCUGUCAAAAAGAAUUCUGUUGCUGAAGUGUUUACAAGUCGAAAACUAUGUACGAUUGAUCACUUAAAAAGUUAUGCUACGAAGCUAUGAAUUUCCACCACAUCAGAAUGGUGUAAUUAGAAAGUAUUCAGCAGACUUUACGAGCUUGACUAUUUCGAAAUAAAUACAGUCACUAUAAAAUCAAAAUGAAGUAGAAAAUAGGGCAUAACGUAAGGUCUAAAUUCACCAAAGCCUGGACAGAUGAAAGAACAACUGAUAGGAAAGCGAUCUUAUAAAACAGAGAGGAUAGACAGGAUGCUGGUGUCUUCAAUCACAUGUACAUCUCCCGGAGACAGUCAUCUACACCAUCAAUGCCUCAUCACAUUUAAACAGCAACCAUCUCAGUUACUUCAAGUUUGUUGGUCGCAUUAUUGCCAAGGCUAUCUAUGACAACAAGCUGAUGGAAUGCUACUCACGAGAUCUUUCUACAGACAUAUUAUUGGUACAGCAUUCAAGUGAGUUGAAGAUCUUGAUUUCUAACAACAUGUAUUUAAAUAUUUCUUUAAAGAAGGUCUUACAGUUUUUAAACAGCAUACUUGAUUCAUAACUUGGACUGGUGGUUUCUAAUUCUCUCUUGAGUAUGUACAUUAUUUGUUAUAAAUUUUAACUAUUUGUACAAACAGAACACAUGUAUUGUCAUAGAGGGAACUGUAUCUGUUUGAUAUUGAAGGUGUUAACUAGUUUUAGUCUUUUCAUUAUUGUUAUUGGAAAUGAAAUCAUUUAAUCUUCUGUGCUACUUUUACACAAAGAUUGUUUGGUCUGUGAAAUGAAAUAAAACUGCUUUGUUUAUGUAGUAAUUGAAUUGUACAAUAGCUUGUUAGUCCAUAUGUCGUAAACAAUUAGCCACAGCUGUAACAUUUGAAGUAGGAUUCAAGUGAAACUUUACAAAAAUGUGAAGUAUUCUGAGAAGUUGUCAGAUCUAUACCUUAAAGGCCAAUGUAAUGGGGCAACCCUAAACCAGUGCAAGGUGUGCCAUUUUAGUGGUGCAGAUUCUGUUUCGCAAACACUUUUCGUUCCGUUAUUGUUUCAUUGACUAUGUUUUGGUUGUAUUUUAUGCAGUAUUUUCAUCUGUGUUCAGGUAUAUAGAUAUGCAGACAGAGGACUACUCGUUCUACCAGGGUCUGGUCUUCCUGCUGGAAAACUAUGUCAAAGAUCUUGGAUAUGACCUCACUUUUACCAUUAAAUUACCAGUUUUCAAACCUCUAAGGAAUUUGGGGAAAUUACAUACAAUUAAUGAAUUUUACAGGACAUGAUAAAAUUGUUUAUUACCAAGUCAAGUGUUGAGUUGGACAUUUAAAAAUGAUUAAUUAAUUAAUGAUGAUAAAGCAACACAUCUUCAGAAGUAAAUAACAAAUUUCAAACAAUGUAUUUUCAACAUGGCGACAGAUUCAAUAACCUGUUUUCAAACCAACUGCAAAAAUGCAUGUAAUAAUUGUUUUAAUGAUGCAAGAGCCUUUUAAGUUUCUUCACUUUUUAGAUUAAGGCAGAUUUUAAUAUUUAUCACAUUCCACAGUUAAUUAAAUGUCAGUCUUUUUCUCAAAGCCAGAUAAAAUACUAGUAUGGAAUGACAGGAAAAUUAAGAAUAAGUCUGAAAACUAUUAAUUUUAAGUGGUUCUUUAAUUAGGCCAAGUAUCCAAACACUUAAGAAGAAUAUUUUGUCAAUUAAAACAAAAGCAAAAUGGCAUUACUAUUAACAAGAUUUUAUUUGAAUUGUUGAAGAAUGGUACGAGUCCUCUAAACUGGAGUUAUAAAGCUUAUUUCAGUCAAAUUGUUCCCAUUUUUUUUAAUCAAAUUUUACUGAAUUCAUAUUUCCCAAAUAACACAUUUAAAUGAUAUUGUACAAAUAAAUCUUUGAUUGUUUCACAUAACUUUAAUACGACUUUGAAGAGGAGACAACAAGUAAAGAAGAUAUUUCUUUACAUAAAACAGAAAUUACAUGCUAUAUGUAUGUAUUUAUGUGAAGCAUGCAAAAUGUAAUAGAGAAAAACACCAUUUUUGCACAUCCCUUUGAAUUCAAUUAAAUAAAAUAUUUGUUUUUCAUGCUUUUAAAAUUUUGACAGCUGUAGCCGGUACCCUAUAUAACAAGUACCUGCAAGUGCCAGAAAUGAUAUCAUUCAUGACCUGAAGGUAAAAUAAACAGAAGUUUAGGGUAGAAAACAGGUACACUGACGAUAGUACAGAGGUAUACACUAGUACUAGUAUACAUAUUUAAUAACAUAUUCUGAAGUUUGAAUUGUACUGUAAAUGCAUAUUUUAUAUUUUACCUCGAUAUUUGCUAAAUGCAUUUUUUAUAUUUUACCAUGAUAUUACCAUCUAAAUAUGUUGUAAACUUACGCAAACUUUAAGAAAUUGACAUUCAGUUGUUUUAGAGUAAAAAUCUUUGCUAGUCAAAUUUCUUUUAUGGUUAGACCUGGGGAAUGAAAAAUGAUUUACUAAAACAGUUUAAAUUAAUGUCUGUCAAGAUUUUGUUUUUUAUUUAUGUUGAAUAUUGUAAUUUAAAAACAAAACAAAACAUUGUUCUCUUUAAUUUAGGGUUAUUAUUAUUAUUUUCUUUAGUCCAUUUCUGUCAUUGCGUAUGUGACAUAAUAACAAUAUUAUUUCUUUAAAUGUAACCCAACGCUUUCCCGUACUUUUCUUACAUUAGUUUUUAGAGUUUUGGUGCGCAGAUUACAAAUAACAUUUAUUCUUUCACCACUUACAUAUAUAUUUAUUUCAUUUUAAUAUCUAUUCAUUGUACUACAUACUGUUUAUGCCACUAAGAGUUAAUUUGUUCAUAUUCAUGUAUUUCACUUCAAUGUCUAUGUUGCGCACUUUGGAUGAUUUUUUUUACAUUAUUAUGUUAGAGAACCAUAUGUAAGAGUGGCUACAGCGAAAUAUGUUAUCCUCUUUAAAUAAAGUUAUUAUACCCCCACAAAACUAAGUUUGGGGUGGGGGUAUAUAGGAGUGAGCUUGUCAGUCGGUCUGUCCGUUGGUUUUCAUGGUUUCCGGACAAUAA